rnacentral:lncRNA from 1 species
GUGUCCACCUACAACUUAAAAAAAAAUUAAAGCUGGGUUUUAAGAGUGUUCUUAAAUUGACUAGCACUUUCAGAUGUAGCAGCUCUUGCCCACCUUAAGACCAGCCACAGAAUAGAGCUCCACCCCCCAUGGAGUGUGAAGUGAUAACAGCCUGAGGCCAUUCUCACCAUCACUACCUUCUACCCUAGGAAACCUUCUGUUUCUUUCAUCCUCUAAGCAAGCAGAAGUGGCCUUGGGUGCAUGAAAAUGCGCUAAGGCUUUUCACCUUGAAGCUCUGGUUUUGCUUCAUCUAUUUUAAUAAUCUGUAGAUAGAUGCAUAAAUAUUUGUAUUUGCCAUGUCCUUUUAGUGAAACUAUUCAUUUUUUCAUUAGGGUAAUGGCAAUAUGGUAAAGAAAAUGUUAAUAUUCUUCACACUGAAAUUUACAAAGAUGGCAAUUUGUCCAUAUACUUUUUCAGUUUUUUUUUUUUGUGUGUGUGUGUGUGUGUGUAUGUCAACAUGAUACUUGGUUUUCCUUCCCAUUAUUUUACUGUAAAUCUUUUUUUUUUCUUUUCUUUUUUGGUACUGGGAAUUAAACACAGAGGCAUUUUAACACUGAGCUACGUCCCCAGUCCUUUUAAUGUUUUAUUCUGAGACAGUUGCUUAGGCCCUCCCUAAUUUGCUGAGGCUGGCCUCAAACUUGCAAUCAUCCUGCCUCAGCCUCCCAAUUCACUUGAAUUACAGGUAUGGGCCACUGUGCCCAGCAAUUUCAAACCUUUCUAUUUGAAAUACAUUUCUGGGAGUGCAUGUAGUUGGAUCUUAAAUUUUUAUAAAACUGGGCAGUCUUUGCUUUUUAAUAG